rnacentral:lncRNA from 1 species
AAGAUUAGUAGUGGGUAUAAAGCGAGAACCCUAAUAAGAGAGAUGGCGCGUGGUAAGCGACGGUAAAUGAUAAAGAAAUUCCCGCUUAAGUGAAAGAUUAAAAGAGAUAAAUGAAUAUUAAAAAAGAUUCGUCCUCCCUCCAAGUUGCAAUCUGAAAGACGUAAACCCCUCCCAAACCCAUUUUGGAUCCAAAAAAACGCUCGCUUCCACAACAUUUCAAAUUUCUGGCCCGCCACAUACACACACUCCCUCCCUCCCUCUCUACUUAUAAUCUUAAAUCAAUUCUUAACGGCUCUGUCGUUUUCCCUANN